GAUAGAUUAGUAUAAACAAGUAAAGAAUGGAUGGCUAGGGUGUUAUAAUGGGCGUUAUAGACGAAAUCUUUGAGGAUAGUUAGCAAAGGUCCCCUAAAUUGAAAUAAAGCCUUAGGAAUUGAAGCUUCUUAGUACUAAGGGUAAAAAAUCAAGCGAAAUUCUGUGAGUAGUGGCGAGCGAAAGUGGAAAGAUGGCCAUUUGAAAGUUUCAAAGAGGGUAAUAGGCCCGUGAAAAUGGUGAUGAUUAGGUGAAAAGAUCAAAAAAUAUAUAAAUUUAUAUUUUUAAAGAGUAGAAUUAUUUGAAGAUGGGUGUUCCAUACAUCUAAAUUUAAAAAUUAUAACAUACCGAAAGUGCAUAAGUACUGUGAAGGAAAGCUGAAAGAGAAUGAAAGAGAAUCUGAAAUUAGUUACUUACAAGCAGACAAUAUUUGUCGUACCUUUUGAAUAAUGGGUUCGUGAGAUAAGUAUUUGGCAAAUUUAAAUUAAUAAAUGUAGGUGUAGUGAAAACAAGUUUUAAUUAUUAAGCAUUAGUCAAAUAGAGCCCGAAACCAAGUGAUCUAACCAUGGGCAGUUUGAAGCUUUCUUAAUGGAGAGUGGAGGAGCAAACUGGUGAUUGUGGCAAAAAUCUCAGAUGACCUGUGGUUAGGGGUAAAAAGCCAAUCGAACUUGGAAAUAGCUGGUUUUCUGCGAAAAUUAUUUAAGUAGUGCAUCAUUAGUUUUAAUUUUUACAUGGUAAAGCACUGAAUAGAAAUAUCUAUAGGGUAUUUUUAAUCAAACUAUGAAAGUGUAAGAAUAAAAAUGAUAGACAGACAAUGGGCGAGAAGGUUUAUUGUCUAAAAGGGAACAACCUAGAUCAGAAGUUAAGGUCAUUAAGGUCUAAUUAAGUGGGAAAGGGGCUUAUUAGGUGAGAUAAUGAGGAAGUAGGCUUGGAGUCGGCCAUCUUUGUAAGAGGACGUAACAGUUCACUCAAUAAAUUAAUGGGUCCUAAAAAUGUGGGUGGCUUAAGUUAUUAUUAUAGUAGAGACCAAAACUCUGGAUAUUGUAUUAUGGUAGUAGAACGUUCUGUAAUAAAUUGAAGUGAUUAUUACGAAAGUAUGUCUGAAGUGAUAAUGCGAACAUGAGUAAAAAAUAGUGUGAGAAUCAUUAUUCAUGGCCCAAGGUUUCCAAUAUAAGAUCUUCUGGAUUGGGUUAUGCAGCCCCUAAGAAAAUAAAUGUCAAGAGGAUAAUGGGUAAGAAAUAAUAAGUGAAAAAAAUUAUUUUUAUAAUAGGCUGUACUAAAACUAACACAAGUGGGCAUUAAGUGAUGGUAAAAUUUAUCUUAAGGAACUCGGCAAAAUGACUCUGUAAGUUCGCGAGAAAGGGUGGUAAUUAUGGGUUUUAUAAAGUGAUAAACUGAUAAUUAUUCUCAGAAAAGAGGGGGUGUCGACUGUUUACCAAAAACAUAGCUUUCAGCGAAAAGUCUUUGACUUGAAGGAUUGGAGGUGAGGCCUGCCCAAUGAUUGUAUCUAAAUUUAAAUGAUAAAAUAAGUUAUUUAAUUAAAGACAAUUAAAUGGCCGCGGUAACUCUGACCGUGAUAAUGUAGCGCAAUAAAUAGCCAAUUAAUUGUUGGCAAGUAUGAAUGGCGUAACGAAUGCCCCACUGUCUCAAGAUAAAAACCAGUGAAAUUGAAGUUGUAGUGAAGAUGCUACAGACAAGUUGUAAGACGAGAAGACCCCGUUGAGCUUUACUGGAGGCUUAAAUUGUUUUUAAAAUUAAGGUGUAGAUUAUGUGGGAACUUAUGAAAAUUCCACUCCUUAGAUAUAAGAAAACCAACCAAUAGUUUAUUGGGGAAGUUUAAGUUGGACAGUUUGGUUGGGGCGACCGCCUUCUAAAGAGUAACGAAGGUGAACAAAAGGUAAAUAAUGAAAUAGAAUAAAGUAAAAGCCUGACAGUGAGGAGGACCUCCAAGCUGACACAGGGGGAAUUAGGUAAAAUUCCAUAAUAUUAAUUAAAAUUAAUACUGUGGGUUAUAGUGACCCGUUAGUUAAGAGUGGAUUUGCUAACGAGCAACGAAUAAAAGUUACCACGGGGAUAACAGCGUAAUCUCGUUUGAGAGUUCAUAUCGAUGACGAUGUUUGCGACCUCGAUGUUGAAUUGCGAUAUCCUGGAGGUGCAGCCGCUUCCAAGGGUUGGACUGUUCGUCCAUUAAAAUCGUACAUGAUUUGAGUUCAGACCGGCGUGAGCUAGGUCGGUUUCUAUCUACAAUUUUGUUUUGAAACAUAAGAUAUAACUACACUCUAGUACGAAAGGAUUGAGUGAUAGAUAUCCGCUGGUGAACCAAUUAUUUAGGUUAAAAUAGAUUGUUGGGUAGCUACGAUAGUAUUAAUCUCUAAUUGUAAAAGUAGGGUGUAAGGGCAGAGGUUCUAAUUCUAAUCCCUGAAGGCAUCUAAAGGGAGAAGUGAAAUAUUGUUCUAUGUUUCAUAGAUAUAUUAAAAUUUAAUAAAUGAAGAAGUAUAUCUAAAGAUCGUUUGAGAAAAAGACGUGGAUAGGGUUUAUGUAAAAUUAAUAAUUUUUAUUGCAUAAGAUUACUAAAGACUAAAUACUGAUCUAUUGA
rnacentral:rRNA from 1 species